GAUGAACGCUAGCUACAGGCUUAACACAUGCAAGUCGAGGGGCAGCAUGGUCUUAGCUUGCUAAGGCCGAUGGCGACCGGCGCACGGGUGAGUAACACGUAUCCAACCUGCCGUCUACUCUUGGACAGCCUUCUGAAAGGAAGAUUAAUACAAGAUGGCAUCAUGAGUCCGCAUGUUCACAUGAUUAAAGGUAUUCCGGUAGACGAUGGGGAUGCGUUCCAUUAGAUAGUAGGCGGGGUAACGGCCCACCUAGUCUUCGAUGGAUAGGGGUUCUGAGAGGAAGGUCCCCCACAUUGGAACUGAGACACGGUCCAAACUCCUACGGGAGGCAGCAGUGAGGAAUAUUGGUCAAUGGGCGAGAGCCUGAACCAGCCAAGUAGCGUGAAGGAUGACUGCCCUAUGGGUUGUAAACUUCUUUUAUAAAGGAAUAAAGUCGGGUAUGCAUACCCGUUUGCAUGUACUUUAUGAAUAAGGAUCGGCUAACUCCGUGCCAGCAGCCGCGGUAAUACGGAGGAUCCGAGCGUUAUCCGGAUUUAUUGGGUUUAAAGGGAGCGUAGAUGGAUGUUUAAGUCAGUUGUGAAAGUUUGCGGCUCAACCGUAAAAUUGCAGUUGAUACUGGAUAUCUUGAGUGCAGUUGAGGCAGGCGGAAUUCGUGGUGUAGCGGUGAAAUGCUUAGAUAUCACGAAGAACUCCGAUUGCGAAGGCAGCCUGCUAAGCUGCAACUGACAUUGAGGCUCGAAAGUGUGGGUAUCAAACAGAAUUAGAUACCCUGGUAGUCCACACGGUAAACGAUGAAUACUCGCUGUUUGCGAUAUACAGCAAGCGGCCAAGCGAAAGCGUUAAGUAUUCCACCUGGGGAGUACGCCGGCAACGGUGAAACUCAAAGGAAUUGACGGGGGCCCGCACAAGCGGAGGAACAUGUGGUUUAAUUCGAUGAUACGCGAGGAACCUUACCCGGGCUUAAAUUGCAGAUGAAUUACGGUGAAAGCCGUAAGCCGCAAGGCAUCUGUGAAGGUGCUGCAUGGUUGUCGUCAGCUCGUGCCGUGAGGUGUCGGCUUAAGUGCCAUAACGAGCGCAACCCUUGUUGUCAGUUACUAACAGGUUCCGCUGAGGACUCUGACAAGACUGCCAUCGUAAGAUGUGAGGAAGGUGGGGAUGACGUCAAAUCAGCACGGCCCUUACGUCCGGGGCUACACACGUGUUACAAUGGGGGGUACAGAGGGCCGCUACCACGCGAGUGGAUGCCAAUCCCAAAAACCUCUCUCAGUUCGGACUGGAGUCUGCAACCCGACUCCACGAAGCUGGAUUCGCUAGUAAUCGCGCAUCAGCCACGGCGCGGUGAAUACGUUCCCGGGCCU
rnacentral:rRNA from 1 species